AUGAUGAUGUUCAGUUUGAUCAUUAAGUUUGGUUUCUUUCCCAUGUUUGCUGUGGCUUGGAUGAGAAGAAAGAAACAUUGUUAAACAUAGCUACUACUAGAGCUUUUUAAUUAUAGUUGUUGCUUUUCUGCAAUUGAUAAUCUGUUCAAAGUACUAAUGAGCUUGAUGAACAGCCUAAAGCAUUGUGAUUGAUCACUUGGGGCUUUAAAUAUAAUUUGUAUAAUGCUUCUGUUUAUAAUAGGAAAUGAUUC
rnacentral:lncRNA from 1 species